UACGGGGGGGAGCAAGCGUUGUUCGGAUUUACUGGGCGUAAAGGGCGCGUAGGCGGCCACCGCAAGUCGACUGUGAAAUCUCCGGGCUUAACUCGGAACGGUCAAGUGAUACUGUCGGACUAGAGUACAGAAGGGGCAACUGGAAUUCUCGGUGUAGCGGUGAAAUGCGUAGAUAUCGAGAGGAACACCUGCGGCGAAGGCGGGUUGCUGGGCUGAUAACUGACGCUGAGGCGCGAAAGCCAGGGGAGCGAACGGG
rnacentral:rRNA from 1 species